UAUACAACUACAACCAGCAGACGGUUAGCUUACCUUAGCAUACAGACUGGACACGGGGAAACAGCUAGUCUGGCUCUGACCAGAG